GAGUCAGCCAGACAGGCACAGCGGUCCACGCUUCUCCCGUCCGAUUUCCACCACGCCAGCGACCCGCCGCCGCGGAGAUCGCUCGCUCGCUGUCGUCGUCGGCGGCGGUGGCGGCCAGGAGAUCUCCCCGCUCCUCUCCCUCCCUUCGCCCCCGAGAGGCGCUCGGCUCAGGAAUUUUUGGUUGAUUUAAGAUGGACAGGGCUAGGAAUUUUAUACCUGGCCCUAAUCAGGAGCUUCUGGAUAUCAAGCCAAUAAGGUCUUUAGCUCCAAUGUUCCCUGCACCCAUGGGAGUCAACAUUAACCAGUCAAGCACCCCACCGUUGGUCUGUGUGACUCCUGUUGGCCAGUUUCCUACAGGAUUUGGUGGUGGAAACCUUCCUGCCUUUGGAUCAUUCGCCACCUUCAAUGCUACCGUGAAUGGUUUUUCGCAAGCAGGCACAAGUGCUAAUGGGGCCAUUGAUGCUACUCCUAUCUCAGCAUACAAGACGAGAUCUGGGGCUACAGCACUUGGUGACGAUGAACCUUAUUCGGGUAAUCAGACUUCAGCAUCUGGACGCAAGGCUAAGAAGAGGUCAGCUGGUUUGUCUGCUGACAGCUCAGAUGGAGUUAAGGCCAAGCGCCCUAAGCCUGUCUACAAGAAUCUUGUUGCUGGCAAGGAGCUUGCUUUCUUGCCAGCUUCACCAAAUAAUCCUAGGGAGAUUGUGGAAGCAGUUCAUAUGACCUUCGAGGCACUCAGACGUAGACAUCUUCAGAUGGAUGAAACACAGGACGCUAGCAGACGUGCAGACCUGAAAGCUGGCGCCAUCAUGAUGGCCAGUAAUAUCAGGGCGAAUGUGGGGAAGAGGGUAGGGACUGCUCCUGGAGUUGAAAUAGGGGAUAUUUUCUAUUUCAGGAUGGAGCUAUGCAUCAUUGGGCUGCAUGCUCCUAGCAUGGGUGGCAUUGAUUACAUGAGUGCUAAAUUUGGAGCUGAUGAGGAUUCUGUAGCAAUAUGUAUUGUUGCAGCAGGUGGUUAUGAGAACGAGGAUGAUGACACAGAUACACUGGUGUACAGUGGUUCAGGGGGUAACAGUAGGAAUACCGAGGAGAGGCAUGACCAGAAGCUUGAGAGGGGCAACCUUGCUCUCGAGAGGAGUAUGCACAGGAAGAAUGAGAUAAGGGUUGUGCGGGGAUUCAAAGAUCCAGCUAUGGUAGCUGGCAAAAUCUACAUAUAUGAUGGCCUUUAUAAGAUCCAAGAGUCCUGGACGGAGAGAACAAAAUUUGGCGUCAAUUGCUUCAAGUACAGGUUGCAGCGUGAACCUGGACAGCGUGAUGGAGCUGCAAUAUGGAAGAUGACUCAGCGAUGGAUACAAGAUCCAUCGACAAGAGGCAGGGUUAUACUACGUGACCUAUCAUCUGGGACUGAAUCGAUCCCAGUGUGUCUCGUCAAUGAGGUAGACCAUGAGAAAGGACCUGGGCAGUUCACCUAUACUAAUCAGGUCAAAUACUUGAGACCCGUCAGUUCCAUGACACCCAUGCAGGGUUGUGGUUGCCAGAGUGUUUGCCUACCUGGUGAUGCCAACUGUGCUUGUGGGCAACAUAACGGAGGUGAUCUACCGUACAGCUCAUCAGGAGUGUUGGUGUGCCGCAAGCCAAUAGUAUAUGAAUGUGGUGAAGCUUGCCAUUGUACCCUGAAUUGUCGGAACAGAGUGAGCCAAAAAGGGAUCAGGUUCCACUUUGAGGUCUUCAGGACGGCAAAUCGAGGCUGGGGUCUUCGCUGUUGGGAGCCUAUUCGUGCUGGUGCAUUUAUUUGUGAGUAUACUGGGGAGGUCAUCGAUGAGCUUAAAGUUAACUUGGAUGACAGUGAAGAUGAUUACAUUUUUCAGACUGUGUGCCCUGGUGAGAAGACGCUAAAAUGGAAUUUCGGGCCUGAGCUUAUAGGUGAGCAAAGCACGUACGUAUCAGCUGAGGAAUUUCAGCCACUGCCCAUCAAGAUAAGUGCAAAAAAGAUGGGAAAUGUCUCGCGUUUCAUGAACCACAGUUGCUCCCCAAACGUCUUCUGGCAGCCAGUGCAGUACAACCAUGGAGACGACAAGCACCCACACAUAAUGUUUUUCGCACUUAAUCACAUCGCUCCCAUGACAGAGUUAACCUAUGACUAUGGUGUGGUUGGAGAAGAGACCAGUCAUAGAGCCAAGACCUGCCUGUGUGGAUCAUUAACCUGUCGUGGGUUAUUUUGAUGUACAUUGUGGUGGAUCAACAUGCAAGCCAAUAAGCUAGAUGUUUCUGGUGCUACCUAGAUUGUACCUAUGUUGUGGCAUUGGUUUCUGCGAAGAUGGCGCCGUUUCUGGAGUGAGAAGACAGUAAAUUAUCUUGGAGCUGAGACAGAAUGCCCAUUGCCUCGCCAUUUGUUCAGAUACUUCUGGAUGAUUGCGUGUAUUGAUUUGUCUGAUCGAGAGCGGUCUAUCGAAGGAGAUGCUCAUGGGACAAGGAGAGGUGUAGGCGAUGGAAGACAAGUUUGAUGAGUUAAUCAAUGCCAAGGAGUUGGCGGCUCAAUAGAUGCAAACCAAAAAGGAGUUGGCGGAGAAGACGCAACGAGAGAAAUUGGCGCGAUGGGGAUAAUGAACGAAAAAUAAAAGACUGCAAGAGAUGGAGGGUGUAAGUUUCAACUUCAGGACGAUCAAUCGAUGCAAAAGAGAACCGUUUCAUAAUGUUGGAUCCAAAAACCACGGAGGAUAAUAAGGCGAGACCAUUUUUGGGAGGUGGGGCAAUUGAAGAUCAUUGCUUCUAUGAUGCCAUGGAGAUGCAAACACACGUGAGGAGGGAGCGUCGUACACUUGGGAGAAGGCAAAUGGUGCCGACGACAUGUGACUUUCCAUGGCGGUUGGAUGUGUGCAUGAUGAUUCCUUUUGGUUGAAUCUUGGUGUUGCAUAAUGCUUCAUCUUUUGUUCAUGCAUUUGGAACCUAUGUUAUGUUUAAACUUGAAUUUGAAACUUGAAAAAUAUGGUUUGG
rnacentral:rRNA from 1 species